GCCUCCUCUCUGAAUCUUUUACCACUGAAUUUUCUCUGUAUCUUGUAUAUUGCAGGGUAUCAAGUAGAGAUAAACUGCACAUGUCGUCAAUCGGAUGCACAUGUGACAUUCUACCAAGAUCUAAUUCAGUUAGUUCUCUACCAAAUCCAAUCCCGUUUAGAUUUUUCCAAAAGUUUGGUUCAUCUUUGUUCUCUAAAUCAACAUAAUCAAGUGUAAAAUAUCAUUUAGUUUAUUUUCUACCAUAUAUAAUUCGGUAGGAAUAAAUGUAACCAAGUGUGAUGAAUAAUUUCAUCAAAUAGGUUUUGGAGAUAUGAUUUCUAUGAAUGUAUUAACAUGGCGAGAUGUGCUAUUUGUUGUUUUGUCCGAGGCAUUACUUUUUAGUCCUUGUCUCCUACAACUCAACAAAUAUAUAUAACCGAAAUAGUUUAAUCAAAAUCUAUGAAUAAAGUUACAUUAUCUGUGGUAUGAACUUGAUUACUGCCUUGAUGUCUUAUUCAAACCCAACUUUGGAAUAUAAUUGUACAAAUAAUGCUUCCAGUUUACCUUGUUCUUUGGGUUGGGAAGCUAAGAGUUUAAUUGAUGCUGGUUUUUCGCUUAUUAUAGAGGAGAAGUUGGAUCUUGUGCUAUUGCAUAUUUGAAAAUGAAUAUACACAUAAUUGCAAUCUCCAGGAGCGAUGGAAGUGAAGAUUGCACGUUUUUUUAAGAUUACUAGUAGAGGGUAUAUUAUUUUCGUUUCAGAUUGAAUUAUUUACUUUAUACAUUGUCAUAUGAGGGCUCUUUGCAAGAAGCGACUGAGAUUCAUUUAUGAUCAAAGCCUAAAGAAAAUAGGUUUAUUAAUUUAUUGUAUGUAGUUGAAUUAAGAGAGGAAGAAAAGCGUGGUAAAAAAUUAUGUUUGAUAUAUAUGUUACGAUACAUCUGCACUGUCUUAACUAUUCAUGCUAAUUCAUGUCAAUUGAACACUAGCAGCCGUUUGUGAUUUUUAAACUUUGAGGUAUGAACUCUAACUUUUUUGGACAAAGAUAAUUGUGUGCCUUGUAUCCCAGAUAUUGAAGUGUGGGCCUUGUAUGCCAUGAAGUGUAAUCAGUAAAUGGGAGAAUGCAUCCUUUUUUUCCUUCAACAAAUGUUACUGUUCUUCACAAUUCUUGGGUAUGGUUAAUCUAGAUGUCAAUUUUACAGUCUGAGAGCAUCAGACUAAAUUUGAACCGUUAGGUUCACUUUUGUUCCUUCUAGAUCUCAGCCAUCAAUGUAACCAUUAGGUUCAUCCAUUUUUAUAUAGGAAUCCCUGUUAGAGUACAUAUCAACUUGAUUUUUGUUAUAAUUGAUGAAUAUAAAAUGAUGUGUCCAUCCUUUGUUUUAGUAUGACAUUGACCUUUCUAUGCCUGGAUGAUAAAAUGUAACAUUUACAGAACAUUUUUUUAGGGAGCUGGCUAUUAUAACUUAUGAAUAUGAAAUGAUCUAGCCUGCUUUUUUUUAGCGUGUGUUGCCCACAUUUUCAUUGUACCUUAAUAUAGUACUGGUGUCGGUCACAUUAUUACCUGGAAAAUCAACUACUCCCUCUCUUCACUUUUGUAAUACGUUUAAGACAGCUAAAAUUACUUGGGUCCAUACAACUUCCUAGAUUCAUUUGGGAGCUGGUUGUCAUAACUUAUUAUAAUUUUGUAUGUGUUUUGAUUAUAUGCAGGUUUGGUUGUUACUGGAGAUCCAAGUUUUUAGCAGGAAUUACUUGGGUCUGUACAACUUCCUGAAAGCGCGUGGUGGUGUUUUGUUGGAGAUUAAAAUCAGCCAGUAGGGCACUUUUUCAUGGAAGUCAUACCACUCGAAAAUAGUAUGCUUAUAGGGCUUUGUAGAUAUACUAGUCUUUUGAUAUUAAGCAUUCUUUUUUGAAAUGAGACUAGAUUGUUGGAACUUUGUAUUGUCAUGUACAUGCUAUUUUUUGAAUGAAUAUAAUUUGGUUGUCAUGUUGUAAAUUGGGUUGCAUUGAGAAAAUGGCUUGUAUUGAAAAAGGGGCCAAUG
rnacentral:lncRNA from 1 species